UACAGAGGUCCCGAGCGUUGUUCGGAUUCAUUGGGCGUAAAGGGUGCGUAGGCGGUUUGCUAAGUUUGAUGUGAAAUCCCGGGGCUCAACCCCGGAAUUGCAUUGAAUACUGGUGAACUAGAGUACUGGAGAGGAAACUGGAAUUUACGGUGUAGCAGUGAAAUGCGUAGAGAUCGUAAGGAAGACCAGUGGCGAAGGCGAGUUUCUGGACAGUUACUGACGCUGAGGCACGAAGGCCAGGGGAGCAAACGGG
rnacentral:rRNA from 1 species